GACUUUAAAAAGGGAGAAAAAGAACGUUGAAGAUGAUUUUGAAGAACUUCGAAGGAAAACCAGUAAGAAUAUGUGUUGUGUUUUUAGUAUCGAGGAUUUCUGUCUUUCUAUCUCAUAUAAGUGAAUUCAACACGUGAGGGGUGUGUCUUACUGUAGAAGAGACGUCAUCUCAAGUGCAGUUUUAAGCUUCUGAAAUUCAAUCUCUUCAAUCUGUUUUAAACAGAGACUCUCUACAAACGAAGUCAUACAUUCUUAUUAAUUACAAAAAAAUGAAGAUAGUUCUCGAGAACGACUAUGAAACAGAAGUGUUCUUUAGAAUUGUGUCUCUAAACAGGAUGACCUCAUUUGAGAUAAUAAGCUGACAUAAUAAGAUUGAUGAGACAGUAGUACCUAAAAGUAUAGUGAUAUGAACCAUUGGAUUGCUGCUUGUAUUAUUUUCUCAUUAUGAAUAAUAGCAUCGCUGGUUCUCUGUGUGUCUUGAAUCACAUGAGUUAAUGAACCAGAACACAAGCUAAACUUUUCACUCUUUUCUGUUUUAGACAUUUUAAAAAGAGAGAAUGAGAGACUGGUAAAAGAAAAGGAGGAUCUUCAGAAGAAUUA